UCUCUGGGCAGAAGUGUUUCCUAAAUGGGCCAUGGAAGGAAGAUCUGUGCCUCCUCCGCUUUAGUGCCUUCCUUGACCCCGCCUUCUCAGCACUGUACUUCUUACAGUCUGCUUUGUGGUGUGUACGUGAGGGGACAGGGAGGGGGCAUCACAUUGGCUAAAUGUCAAAUCGAAUUCUGUGCCCCUGUUGGUGUCUGCAGAAAUUUUGCUUGGGCGGGCUCCACUCUGUGGAGGUUCUUCUGUCAUUUUUAAGCGGAGAACAGCAAAGAUGCAAAUCGCCCAGACUGCUCCAGGAGACAAAGCGACAAUUCAGAUGAGAAAACAGAAUCUCAGAGAAGGUAACCCGUGAUCUAUGUGGUGACAAGACUGAGGCAGAUGGGCACCUUUGAACACCUGCCAGGGGAAAGCAGUCGAGGAGGGGGAAUGUCAAUCAGAAUCUGGAACUUGCGAUUCUUCAGGGCGACAGAACCAAAUCUUGGGAAGAAGGACAUGCCUCAUGAUGGAAUCUGAUCUCUAGCAUGUUCUACUUUACUGAAGAAAACAUACUGCUAAUAAUUUAACUGCACUUCGAUUAUCAGGAUAAGUUGUGCAAUAAAAUAUGCAGAUAGAAUGGAAACUUCGUAAGUGACAAAUGAUAAAUGAUAUAAAGCAGUGGAUAAUUUUACUUAGCUUCGAUUUUAAUGUUUGUCAAAUGAAUGAAGCAAUGUAUUUAUAUGCAGAAAGCCACAUUAUCAUAAAUAUAUUUGCUAAAACAGGAAGAAUAAAUUGCGGUUAAAUUUAGUAACAUCUGAUGUUAUGUGUGAAUGUUUAUUUGUGAUUAAAUGUGAACAAUUGCUCCUUUAAGGUAAAGGUCUGCGUAUAUGUGAUUAAUCAAAUUGAAAUGAAAGUACAGACAGCUCAUGCCAUGCCUAGUUAUCAGAAUGAUUGAUUUUAGUCUGUGCUUCUAGGUGAAAAAAUAUCUGUUAAUAACCCCAGCAGCCAAACCCCUGAUGUCCCUGAUAGCUCAAUGAUUUGUGCACAUUCUGCAUUAUUGGGCUCAUUUGCAGGUAUAGGGUCUACACAAUGAUCCAUUGGAUCACAAAAUUAUAACACGAGAAAAGUGACAUCCAGAUUUAUGCAAGAGUUAUGACUGCAAAGUGCAUUUCAUCAGUAAGAAGUUUAAAAUUGCUGCUGUUGUAGCUGUCACCGGCAUGUUAUUUUCUUUGGUUUGUGUGUAGGCAAGACUGUCAAGGUUUUAUCACACAAACUGGUGUUUUUGU